GUUAUUUCCAUAAAAGUGUGUUGUUUUCAUAUCUCUUCAUCCACACACCAAGUUUACUCUUUUUUUUUUUUUUUCUUUUUUUCAGAAGAAGGCUGUCAUGGCCUAGCUCACUGUUCUGGACUUUGCUAUUUGAUCAAACUGACCUGUUCUGUGCUGUCUUUCUCCCUCCACAUCUAAUGUGUACUUGGCGUCCUCAAGAUCUGCAGGUUACAGACAAAAGCACUGCCAGUUUAUUUACAAACAACAAACCAAGUUUAAAUGGAGGAACAAAAGCAUACCAGAUGACAAACAGUGAGCAAGAGGCUUCCAUGUAAAAGAAAAGAUUAGCUCCAUUUGUGCUGCAGGUUUUUAUUCAGUUCCUCUUGGUACAAAAGGGCAUUCAGUGUGGAAGCUUUUGGUAAGGAUUAUGACUGAGGAGAAGACAUUUGAACUGCACCGAGCUGAGUACAGUCUGAAUUGGUGAAAUAAUAGAAGUCAUUCUUCUGUCAUCUUGAAUGCUUGAAAUCACUGACUCUCACUUUCAAUUGCUGUUGACCUAUGAUGGACGUGACUUAGCAAUCAAGCAAGGAAAGUUUUAUCCAAUUAAAAAUCUCCUGGGUCAUCCAUUCCUUCAAAAUGAAGUACCUAAAUAAUAGGUCUCAUGAAGAUUGAUGACAUUCUCAGCAUUUAUUUUAUUUCAGAC
rnacentral:lncRNA from 1 species